rnacentral:lncRNA from 1 species
CUCUCAGGAGGUUAAAUGCCCUAGUAUGAGUGUAUUAAAAAUGAAAUUGAUUCGGUCCGCACCGGUUCAGAUUCAAUAUCCGAUGAUUCAGUUACAUUGUUUCCGAUGCUUUUCCUCUUUUAAUCGCGCAUGCGCAUCAGCUUUCACUCUGCAGCAACACUUCUAAGCGAAAUAUUGAUAUGGUGCUAAUUAAUGGACACUUACAUAGAUCUCUGCCAAUCGUUCGGUGUGCCCCUCUGGGUGGGGCCGUUGCUCCACGCGGUCUCCAGGCUGAAGACGACAGACCGGAUCAAACGAAGAAAAGUUUACCGUUUAAUCCAGCGUCAGUUAGUAAGAGUCGCUUUGUAUUUUAUUAUCAUUUUGUCUUUAUUUUGUCUGAUCUUAACGCAAAUGUUGACAGCUGAACAGGAUCGGCUGUAGCACACGUGUCAAACCCACUUACGUGUACCCAGCUGAGCUCAAAGAGAUGGUCCGAGCAGCCUUUCCAAAAGACAUCUGUGACUAUGACGACCCCUGUCACGAAAAUGUGAGAGGAAUACAGUUAAAGGGAUAGUUCACCCAAAAAUGAAAAGGUGAUGCCUAUCUGCU